CCUACGGGAGGCAGCAGGGGGGAAUAUUGCACAAUGGGGGAAACCCUGAUGCAGCGACGCCGCGUGAAGGAAGAAGUAUUUCGGGAUGUAAACUUCUAUCAGCAGGGAAGAAAAUGACGGUACCUGACUAAGAAGCCCCGGCUAACUACGUGACAGCAGCCGCGGUAAUACGUAGGGGGCCAGCGUUAUCCGGAUUUACUGGGUGUAAAGGGAGCGUAGGCGGCGAUGCAAGUCAGAAGUGAAAGGCCGGGGCUCAACUCCGGGACUGCUUUUGAAACUGUGUUGCUAGAGUGCAGGAGAGGUAAGUGGAAUUCCUAGUGUAGCGGUGAAAUGCGUAGAUAUUAGGAGGAACACCAGUUGCGAAGGCGGCUUACUGGACUGUAAAUGACGCUGAGGCUCGAAAGCGUGGGGAGCAAACAGGAUUAGAUACCCGAGUAGUC
rnacentral:rRNA from 1 species